AUGUAUUAGUAGUUUAAACCAGGGGUGUUACGGAUAUUCGCAUCCAUAUCCGCAAAUGCGGAUUAUUCGUAUGAAUUUAGACAUUUUCAUCCGCAUUCGCAUCGAUUAAUGCGGAGCUUUUAUGGAUGCGGAUUCGUAUCCGCAACAAGUAAAGAUAAAGUAAAGUGGGCGGAGCCAGAGUGGUUGCCUGACUCGUGUUUGCUAGUAGCUAUCUUC